rnacentral:miRNA from 1 species
CAAACUUGCUGCUGUUUAUGACGUCGAUAUUCGACGUCAUAAACACCAAACUUGAUGGUGUUUAUGACGUCGAAUAUCGACGUCAUAAACACCAAAC